GGCCCUGUCCCCCAAAUCCUUGUAGAGGGCCUAGACUCUUCUCCUGGGGUACUUUGAGGAGGGGUUAGCACUGGUACUGUGGAGCACAGCACUCUGUUAUCACUCUCUCAAGCCCCGUGGUGAGUCUUAAGUUUGCCAACUUCUUGACUCAGUCACUGACUGGGGUCCCAGGAGUCCGGCCGGAAGGAGAUUGCAGGUUUGGAGGGACCGCAAGCGAGCGACAUCGCUCCCCCUCCCCAAACCUCCCCCCCACCGGCCACUGUCCCGGAGGCAGCAGCUGCAGCAGAGGCAACUGCUCGCAUCCCAGCCGGGCUCGGGUUACCGCCUUCUUCCUCCAGCAUCUCCUGCCAGACAGGGAAAAGCUUGAUCAAGUUUGCAGCAGGACUCGGUCCCUGUGCAAAACUGGGGCUCCGGGACGGGCCUGCUUCCCCGCGU
rnacentral:lncRNA from 1 species